GACUCAAGGAGCGACCGAUCUCUAUAUCAGUAGCUGGAUGAAGUCCCAACCCCGUGAUAAGGUGAUUUUGGCUACAAAAGUUUGUGGUUAUUCAGAAAGAUCAAGUUACAUACGUGAAAAUGCAAAGGUUUUGCGAGUAGAUGCUGCUAAUAUUCGAGAAAGCGUAGAAAAAAGUUUGAAACGUCUCAAUACUGAUUACAUUGAUUUACUCCAAAUACAUUGGCCAGACAGAUAUGUUCCGUUGUUCGGCGAGUUCUUUUAUGAAACUUCAAAAUGGAGGCCAAGUGUGCCUUUUGUUGAGCAGCUUAGAGCCUUUCAGGAACUCAUCGAUGAAGGAAAGGUCCGCUACAUUGGUGUUUCCAAUGAAACUUCAUAUGGAGUUAUGGAGUUUGUCCAUGCUGCAAAAGUUGAAGGAUUGCCGAAGAUUGUCAGCAUUCAGAAUAGUUACAGUCUGCUGGUUAGGUGCCACUUUGAGGUUGAUCUUGUUGAAGUAUGCCACCCAAACAACUGUAACAUUGGCUUACUAUCCUAUUCUCCACUGGCUGGGGGAACCUUAUCGGGGAAGUAUUUGGACAGUAAUUCUGAAGCUGCUAGAAAAGGAAGACUUCACCUGUUCCCAGGCUACAUGGAAAGAUACAAUAAAUCCCUUGCCAAGGAAGCAACAAAAAAGUAUGAAGAAGUGGCCAAGAAGCAUGGUCUAACGCUAGUUGAGUUAGCCCUAGGAUUUGCCCGAGACCGUCCCUUUAUGACAAGUUCAAUUAUAGGUGCAACCUCGGUGGAUCAAUUA
rnacentral:misc_RNA from 1 species